ensembl:snRNA U6 U6 spliceosomal RNA
GCUCUCACUUUGGCAGCACAUACACUAAAGUUGGAACGCUGAAGAGAAGAUUAGCAUGGCCUUUGUGCAAGGAUGGUAUGCAGAUUCAUGGAGCGGUCCAUAUUUGA